rnacentral:rRNA from 1 species
GAUGAACGCUGGCGGCGUGCCUAAUACAUGCAAGUCGAGCGAACGGACGAGAAGCUUGCUUCUCUGAUGUUAGCGGCGGACGGGUGAGUAACACGUGGAUAACCUACCUAUAAGACUGGGAUAACUUCGGGAAACCGUAGCUAAUACCGGAUAAUAUUUUGAACCGCAUGGUUCAAAAGUGAAAGACGGUCUUGCUGUCACUUAUAGAUGGAUCCGCGCUGCAUUAGCUAGUUGGUAAGGUAACGGCUUACCAAGGCAACGAUGCAUAGCCGACCUGAGAGGGUGAUCGGCCACACUGGAACUGAGACACGGUCCAGACUCCUACGGGAGGCAGCAGUAGGGAAUCUUCCGCAAUGGGCGAAAGCCUGACGGAGCAACGCCGCGUGAGUGAUGAAGGUCUUCGGAUCGUAAAACUCUGUUAUUAGGGAAGAACAUAUGUGUAAGUAACUGUGCACAUCUUGACGGUACCUAAUCAGAAAGCCACGGCUAACUACGUGCCAGCAGCCGCGGUAAUACGUAAGUGGCAAGCGUUAUCCGGAAUUAUUUGGCGUAAAGCGCGCGUAGGCGGUUUUUUAGUCUGAUGUGAAAGCCCACGGCUCAACCGUGGAGGGUCAUUGGAAACUGGAAAACUUGAGUGCAGAAGAGGAAAGUGGAAUUCCAUGUGUAGCGGUGAAAUGCGCAGAGAUAUGGAGGAACACCAGUGGCGAAGGCGACUUUCUGGUCUGUAACUGACGCUGAUGUGCGAAAGCGUGGGGAUCAAACAGGAUUAGAUACCCUGGUAGUCCACGCCGUAAACGAUGAGUGCUAAGUGUUAGGGGGUUUCCGCCCCUUAGUGCUGCAGCUAACGCAUUAAGCACUCCGCCUGGGGAGUACGACCGCAAGGUUGAAACCCAAAGGAAUUGACGGGGACCCGCACAAGCGGUGGAGCAUGUGGUUUAAUUCGAAGCAACGCGAAGAACCUUACCAAAUCUUGACAUCCUUUGACAACUCUAGAGAUAGAGCCUUCCCCUUCGGGGGACAAAGUGACAGGUGGUGCAUGGUUGUCGUCAGCUCGUGUCGUGAGAUGUUGGGUUAAGUCCCGCAACGAGCGCAACCCUUAAGCUUAGUUGCCAUCAUUAAGUUGGGCACUCUAAGUUGACUGCCGGUGACAAACCGGAGGAAGGUGGGGAUGACGUCAAAUCAUCAUGCCCCUUAUGAUUUGGGCUACACACGUGCUACAAUGGACAAUACAAAGGGCAGCGAAACCGCGAGGUCAAGCAAAUCCCAUAAAGUUGUUCUCAGUUCGGAUUGUAGUCUGCAACUCGACUACAUGAAGCUGGAAUCGCUAGUAAUCGUAGAUCAGCAUGCUACGGUGAAUACGUUCCCGGGGUC